ensembl:sRNA
CCCUAGCCCUGAUGGAAGCGGCAUCCUUUUUAUAAGGUGAUUUUUCUUCACCUUAUAAAAAGAUAUAGCGGACAGCAGGAAAUAGC